GACAGAGCUAAACUCUGUCUCAAAAAAAAUUAAAAUAAACAGCCCUGAGGGGAGCCCCAGUGGCCCCCACCCCCAGCACAGUUGAACUGACUGAGCACUGUCUACACUGGAUGUACACACUCACAUCCUCACUUUCUCUCCCCAGACAGGAAAUGUCUGCAGGGAGUGACUCUGUGUCCUCAUCAGGAGACCCCUGUUUCUGGCCCCUCAGGAACUAGGGGUCAGCAUGUCCUACCCAGUGAAGCCCUCCCGGGCUCUUUCUGCCCACAGGAAGUGCCUCCUUCCAUCCUGUUUUCCUCUCACCACCACCCCCCAGGGCGCUGAGGGCCAGCUGGACAAAAGGUGGUGAGAGAUGGGCCAGGUGGGUCCCCUGCAGGGGUGCCAGAUGCCGUGUGCUGCCGUGGAUGUCACUGGGAUAUCAGUCAGCCCAUUCUCUGUGGGCCAAGGAGUCACUGCUAACAGGAGUUGUCCCAGAGGGUCACACCCUUGAGUCUUGUGGCAAGGCCAGCAGGAGGACCAGCUGGAGCACGGAGAGCAUCCUCAGAUCACCAGCAGAAGGAUGAUCGUCUGCCAAGGCCAACUGGAAGACUCCACAGACCUCCCAAGUCCUGGCUAGGCUCAAUCCUGCUGUUAUAAGUCCCCCUGGGUCUUCCCUGAAUCCUCCCAGAGCCCUCCCUGAAUCUUCCCAAGUGCUCCCCGAAUCCUCCCCAGGUUGUUUCCUGGAGUCCUCCCAGUCCUUCCUGGAUCCUCUCCACAUCCUCCCUGAGUGCUCCCAGAAUCCUCCACAGUCCUCCCCGUGUUCUCUCAGGUGUGGGCUGCUGUACCUGGAAUUGGCCCUAGCGGGUGACUGGGGCUGGAGUUUUGUUGACACCAGUGGAGCCACAAGCCUGCAGUGCACAGGUGUGAUGGCAGGCCUGUGAGCGUUUGGGGAUGCAUGGCCUUGCUCCCUUUGCGCUGGUGUCUGGAUGUGCUCAGAGACCACCUGGGUCCCCUGGCCUCUGGGACAAGGCCAGUCAAGCCUCGGAGCAGGUGGGACCCCAAGCAGAGCCAAGGCAUCCCCAGCCCCAGCCCUUGUUCCCGUGUGCCCCAUCUUCCGAUGCACUUCCCUAUGUCAUGUGGUACCAGCUCUGCCUCUGACUCCCCAUGCAGUAGCCCUAGGGCCCCUCCCUGCCAGUGUCCUCCUGGGCCUUCUGGGAUGGGCGAGAACCUGCUCACGUGGGUACAUGCACAGCAAGCAUCGGAGGGUCUCCUUCCCUGGGAAACAUCACAGCCCCACAGUGGGUCACCCUCAAUGCAAACCACUCAGCUUCCGGGUGGCAAGCCUGCAGAGUGGCCCCAGGCAUGCUGGGCCACCUUCUAAGUGUGCCAGUCCCAUCGCUGUGUGUGUGUGGAUGUGCCAGAGAUGUACAGUCCCACCUCCCUGUCUGUGUCCCAUGCCCCCAUGAGUGUGUCCUCACACCUCUUGCCCCGCCUCCCCGCCGUGUGCCCCUCGUAGCAGCUUGGCCCUGCCCGCUGCACCAUGUGUACACAGAGGCUUAUUUUCUCUGCCUUUAGGGCCAGGGGUGUGCUCAUAAAUCGCGCAGUCGAUGACACAUUUAUCCCGCGGGCGGCUGGCGGUGUGAAUUUAUGGCUGCACCCCCUUCCUGGCUGAGGCAGGACAGGGGCCGGGAUACCUCUCAGGCAAAAACCUCCAGUCCACUGCACUGCGCUGUUGUGGGGCCAUGGGGGCAGGGGCUGGGCCAGGAGGGCUCAGAAGUGCUCCCAAGGUCCCGUCUUGCUCAGAAACCCUGCAAUUUCAGGGUGCUUGGGGCAAUGAGAGGUGAGGCCGCUCUGCCUGCGUGAGGGCUGGGGGCACAGUGGCUGCCCACCUGCCAGAGACAUGGAGGCCCAGAGCCCAGCCUAAUGUCCCAGCCUCCAUGCCCCCUUACAGUCUGCUCCUCAUCUUCCCACCUAUGAAAGAGGGAACAACCUGGACACCCCAGGGAGAGCAGGUGUGCGGGUGGCUCCCCUCAGGUGCUGAUUCAGCCACCCACUGCCACUGGGCCUGCUGGGAGCAUUGAGAUUUGGGGAGGACUGUCGGAAAGGGUGGGGGCCUCGAGGGCAGCUGGAUCUGCACACAGGGAGGAGGAGCGGAAAUGCUGUCACAUCAGAGCAGAGAGCCCCCCAGAGCUCACCUGCCCUCCUCUGCCUUGUAAAGAUGGGGAAACUGAGGCCCAGGGAGAGCAGAGGUCCCAGACCACAUGGGUAGAAUAACAAAGCCUCAAGAUCCUGGAUUCCUAGUAUGCAAUAAGGGGGGUCCUAGGCGCACCCCUCCCUGUUGAGCCUUCUUUGUCCUGCAAAGUCUGGAGGUGGGGCCUCGGGCUGAAGGCUCAACAGGGAGCUGAUGGAGCAAGUUGGCAAGCUGGUCCCAUCAGGGCCACAGCUGGGGACUGGGACCUGGCUGCCUCCCCUCCGUCCGUCGGUCUGUCUGUGUGCAGGGUCGGGUCUCCAGGGGACCCUCUGUCGGCUCUCAAGCUCCCUCCCAUCUCGGCCCUGGCCCCCCCUCACCGCCCGCUGUCAGGAUGAGCGAUGGCCAUGCCCCUCCCCGGCCCUCAGCCCCAGGCCCGGUUCCCGCUCAUUAGCCGCUGACACUGUUUGCUUUCCCGCCCUGGACGCCCACCCCGUCACAGGCCAUUUCUCCUGGCGCCCCCCACCCCUGAGGACCUGCCCAGGGGUCCAGGGUGCCGGGUCGAGGGGGCUGCCGGGUGCCAGGCAGGACCUGCAUUAUGCUCACAGAGCAAUGGCCACAUGGAGUGCCGGCCCCACCCUCACCUGCACCCCGAGAGACGGGGAGCCACGGGUCACCUGGAGUCUCCCAUAGCCCUGUCCACAUCCCACAGGCCAGACACAGCCACAAUGAGACUGGACCGUGCCUUGCAGCUUGGAUGGCUUGGUGCUGUACACACUGGGAGGGUCUUUGAUGACAAGUACCGGGCCCACUGCACCCAUCUCUGUCUCUCUUUAUCAUUGCCCCUAUUUCUGUCUUUGCCUGGGUCUCUGCCCCCAGCCCCAUCCUGUGGAAUGACCACUGAGCCACUGGCCCAUUCGGAAAGUACAUCCCCCACCUGGAGCCCCUCUGUUCCCCCCAGGCAGCCCCAGUACACAGCCUGGGGGGGUGGGUCCUGAGGCAGCAGGCACCCCUCCCUCCUGCACCACUCCCGCCCCCGAUAUGGCCACAGCUGGGCGGCAUCAGGGCCCGCAGGCCAGUGGCAGUCAGUCCUUCACUUAAAAAUGUGUUUGUGAUUUCGGCGGCGAGGCAGAUAACGGUGACGAAUGGCCCGCCCGGCCCCCAGGGCCCUCAGCCCAUCUGGUUUGACUUUGGCCUGUCGGAGGUGCCCUUGGGCCUCACCCCUGCCCUCUGGCAGUGCCCUCCGAGUGAGGCACCCUCAACCUUUGCACACUCUGGUCCCUUUGCUGGAAACGGCUCUCCCGUCCACCCGUCUGUCCCCCCAUCAUGGGAUCCCCUGGCUAUGCCCAUAGGAGCCACGCCUGCAGCACUCAGGGUGGCAGGCCCUGGGCAGUGCUCAGGUUUGCAGGGUGGUGGGAAGGCACAGGCCCAGCAGGGAGGGGGCAUACUUUGCCUGGGGCCUGCAUCCCCUCUGUCCAGUAGGGAAUAGUGAGUGCCCACCUGAGGCCAGAGGGGCCGAGGCUAAGGUGAUGGAAUGGGCCAGGACCGAGAGAGGUGGCCCGGUGGCCGGGGCAGGGCCUAGCCCUGUGAGACAGCCCAUGUGGUCAUUGUCAGCAGGAAUUUCUGACAGGCUCGGGACCCUCCCGACCAUCGAUUAUCCAAGCAGGAGGAGUGGCUUCCGGGUCCGGCCAUGGGCUCAGCGGGGAGGUCAUUGAGGUCAAACCUGAGUGCCCCUCCUCCUCCAGUCUCCCCUUCUACUCCCUUCGGGCUCCCCAGGUGGGCUGAGGUGCCUGGAAGGUUGCUCUGUGCCACUGGGCCCUUGCUCCUGCCCAGUUUGAAUCCUGGCCGGCUACCACAGGGAGUGGUCAGGGGUCCACUAGGGACUGGGGCUCAUGCAUUCCUUAGCACAACUUCCCCAUCAACCCCUGCAUGCCCAGGUCAUAGACAGGAGUCAGACCUGGCCCUCAGAGAGGAGAUAAGGAGAGGUGGGGGUGCUUCGAGGUCCCUUGGCCCAUCUCAGGGGUUGGGAAGGGGCUUGUGUAGAGGGAGGGCAUUCAGGCUGAAUGGAAGAGGCAGCCCUCCAUGGGGAUCUGGGGUCGCCUCUAGGAGAGACACUGCUCCGUUCCCCACUGCACCCUCCAGGCCCACUCCUGCCCUGUAGCGAGGACAGCUGUAGGGGGUGGGGAGGGGCGGCGCCAUGUCAGGACCCCCACUCCCUCCCCAAAAGCAGGAAAAUCCCUCUCCCUUAGUAUCACAUUGUUGAGAAUUAACUUUGUUGAAAUAAAAAUUGGUCGUGGUAUUAA